rnacentral:rRNA from 1 species
ACGCAGGUGCUGCAUGGCUGUCGUCAGCUCGUGUCGUGAGAUGUUGGGUUAAGUCCCGCAACGAGCGCAACCCUUGCCUUUAGUUGCCAGCAGUUCGGCUGGGCACUCUAAAGGGACUGCCGGUGUUAAACCGGAGGAAGGUGGGGAUGACGUCAAGUCCUCAUGGCCUUUAUGACCAGGGCUACACACGUACUACAAUGGCCGAUACAAAGGGCAGCGACACUGCGAGGUGAAGCCAAUCCCGUAAAAUCGGUCUCAGUCCGGAUUGGAGUCUGCAACUCGACUCCAUGAAGUUGGAAUCGCUAGUAAUCGUGGAUCAGCAUGCCACGGUGAAUACGUUCCCGGGCCUU